rnacentral:rRNA from 1 species
GACGAACGCUGGCGGCGUGCUUAACACAUGCAAGUCGAACGGAAAGGCCCUGCUUUUGUGGGGUGCUCGAGUGGCGAACGGGUGAGUAACACGUGAGUAACCUGCCCUUGACUUUGGGAUAACUUCAGGAAACUGGGGCUAAUACCGGAUAGGAGCUCCUGCUGCAUGGUGGGGGUUGGAAAGUUUCGGCGGUUGGGGAUGGACUCGCGGCUUAUCAGCUUGUUGGUGGGGUAGUGGCUUACCAAGGCUUUGACGGGUAGCCGGCCUGAGAGGGUGACCGGCCCCCAUUGGACUGAGAUACGGCCCAGACUCCUACGGGAGGCAGCAGUGGGGAAUAUUGCACAAUGGGCGGAAGCCUGAUGCAGCAACGCCGCGUGCGGGAUGACGGCCUUCGGGUUGUAAACCGCUUUCGCCUGUGACGAAGCGUGAGUGACGGUAAUGGGUAAAGAAGCACCGGCUAACUACGUG